UUGGGGGAUUGUAGGGUUCGUUGUUAGCCCGGGAUAAAACAACGAGUUGGGUAGUGCACUCGGAAAACUACCGGACUGUAAUCGCUGAUUAUAGUGAAAAUUCCCAAAGGUGUUUGGGGAGUGGAUGUAGGAGCAGUGGAAGCUCCGAACCACUAUAAACCUUUGUGUGUUUGCGUUUGACUGUGGUUGCAACUUUAGUUUCACCUUUGCACAUACACUUGUGUGUUUU
rnacentral:lncRNA from 1 species